rnacentral:lncRNA from 1 species
UAUAGAGAGAAGUGACCUCUCUUUCUUCGUGCUUGGUCGAUGAUAGCUACUAAAUAUAGAGAGAACUCGACGCUAGCUAGUAAGUAAAUGAAGGAACCAUUAAUUACACAACAUCGUCAUGAACAUAUAUAGAGAGAAGUGACCUCUCUUUCUCCGUGCUUGGUCGAACAACUCGACGCUACUACAUAUAAUACACGAUCAUGCAUAUAUACAAUAGAUAACAUCUCUUGCGAUCCCUAACUAGCUAAUAUUUAUCAUCCACCAAAAUCGGUAAGGAAAUCCUGAUGAUAUUCCCCGUCUGAUGGUAUGACAUGCUCAACAAAGAAUCCCGCUAAUUUAUCUUGAAUUGCUCGUAUGCGAUCAGUUGGUAGGAGUUCUUUCCACUUCCGCUUGAUCUAAUUUAAAGAAGGGGGUCAAAACUCAACACAAUUGAU